rnacentral:lncRNA from 1 species
CGUGGAAUAAAUGACUCAGCAAAAAUUGUGCCACAUAGGCUGGAAACACGAGUAAGGACUUAUUCUGAUUAAAAAAAAAUUACAGGGAUUCGAAAUCGGAAAAAAAAAUUCAGGAACUUAUUUUCGUACGGCAGACAAUUUCAGGGACCUACAGAGUAUUUAAGCCUAAAAUUAAUGGCUAUGAUUUGGAGUCACUUUUCUAAGUUACUCCUGGAGUCAAUAUAUCACUCCUCUAUAAACAUUAUUUAUUUUGCUAGUUCAUUGUUCUUCUAUAGACUUUGAGUUUUUUUCUCAACACUCUCAUUCUAAUUUGAAUGUCAAAUUGCAUUUGGAUGUACCUCCUCUACCAUGUUUACAUCGCACCACUGUACCAAAAGAUUCAUGAGAAUGAUGCACAGCACAACCACCACAUAACAUCAAGAGCAUGUACAAUGGCUUAGAUUCGGGAACAACAAUUAGCAUAUACUACUCUAUCUACAACUCCCACCUAAGACAACUCUUUUGAUGCUAUUUAAAAGAGGAUUAAGUAUCACAAAAUCCAAUUCCAAAUGAUAUCCUCAUAAAACUCCAAAGUACUUUAGUUUAUCUUAUUGUACCUUAAAAAAACACCAUUCAACACCUCAAACCCAAACACACUCAUGAGUUGCGUAUAUAAGGCAUAACCAGAAGAAGAAGAUUGAGAAACUGUGUUCGAACUGAAUCGCCAUGGAAGAACCAUCAAGAGAAGAAGCUGACACCACCACCAUCAACAACAACACCCAGAUGAUCCCUCAAGUUCUGCAAGUCCUCCAAGCUCUCAAACAAGCUUCACACGACAUCCAAC